UGGAGGAGGAUAUAAAAGAGGGUGGGGGUAUCACCGAAUACCCCAUUUGAGCUGCUAUUUACUGUAAACAGCAAGAAGAAGAAAGGAGAAAGAAGGAGAAGGAGAAGAAGAAAAGAGAAGGAGAAAUGAGGAGAGAACUCACUCACCUCAGGCUACUCUUGGAAUCGGCCCUGCACUUAGAUAACGAAACCAGUAUUUUGCCAACUCUCAACACUGACUAUGAGGCAGUGGGCACAGAUCACCUGGCCUAUUUUCCAGAGGAUGAAUCCAAACAUGGAACCGACUAUGGAUGUGAUGAUUGUGCCUACGAAGGCCAAUACCUCUGAGGAGUAUAGAGAGAGAGUUUGAGUUACCUUGAUAUUUUGUGUAUAUACUUCCGCAUGAGAGCACUCUAAUGUAUUGAAAAAUUUGAGAGAUAUUUAUCUUUUUGUGUAAAUAUUCUUUUUUAUUUAUUAAGUUAUCCUAGAUAACUGUAACAUAUUAUAUUACUUAGAGACAUUGGAUGGUUAUGAGUCA